AUUGAACGCUGGCGGCAGGCUUAACACAUGCAAGUCGAGCGGGGUGAUGGUGCUUGCACUAUCACUUAGCGGCGGACGGGUGAGUAAUGCUUAGGAAUCUGCCUAUUAGUGGGGGACAACAUCUCGAAAGGGAUGCUAAUACCGCAUACGUCCUACGGGAGAAAGCAGGGGAUCACUUGUGACCUUGCGCUAAUAGAUGAGCCUAAGUCGGAUUAGCUAGUUGGUGGGGUAAAGGCCUACCAAGGCGACGAUCUGUAGCGGGUCUGAGAGGAUGAUCCGCCACACUGGGACUGAGACACGGCUCAGACUCCUACGGGAGGCAGCAGUGGGGAAUAUUGGACAAUGGGGGGAACCCUGAUCCAGCCAUGCCGCGUGUGUGAAGAAGGCCUUAUGGUUGUAAAGCACUUUAAGCGAGGAGGAGGCUCUUUUGGUUAAUACCCAAGAUGAGUGGACGUUACUCGCAGAAGAAGCACCGGCUAACUCUGUGCCAGCAGCCGCCGUAA
rnacentral:rRNA from 1 species